CACGUAGGCACCAAGCGUUGUCCGGAUUUAUUGGGCGUAAAGAGCGUGUAGGCGGCCUUACAGGUCAGCUGUGAAAACUCGAGGCUCAACCUCGAGACGUCGGUUGAAACCGUAAGGCUAGAGUCCGGAAGAGGAGAGUGGAAUUCCCGGUGUAGCGGUGAAAUGCGCAGAUAUCGGGAAGAACACCCGUGGCGAAGGCGGCUCUCUGGGACGGUACUGACGCUGAGACGCGAAAGCGUGGGGAGCGAACAGG
rnacentral:rRNA from 1 species